AGUGAACGCUGGCGGUAGGCCUAACACAUGCAAGUCGAACGGCAGCACAGUAAGAGCUUGCUCUUACGGGUGGCGAGUGGCGGACGGGUGAGGAAUACAUCGGAAUCUACUUUUUCGUGGGGGAUAACGUAGGGAAACCUACGCUAAUACCGCAUACGACCUACGGGUGAAAGCAGGGGAUCUUCGGACCUUGCGCGAUUGAAUGAGCCGAUGUCGGAUUAGCUAGUUGGCGGGGUAAAGGCCCACCAAGGCGACGAUCCGUAGCUGGUCUGAGAGGAUGAUCAGCCACACUGGAACUGAGACACGGUCCAGACUCCUACGGGAGGCAGCAGUGGGGAAUAUUGGACAAUGGGCGCAAGCCUGAUCCAGCCAUACCGCGUGGGUGAAGAAGGCCUUCGGGUUGUAAAGCCCUUUUGUUGGGAAAGAAAAGCGGCAGGUUAAUACCCCGCUGUUCUGACGGUACCCAAAGAAUAAGCACCGGCUAACUUCGUG
rnacentral:rRNA from 1 species